ensembl:lncRNA
GUAAGAGAAGUAAAAAUCAGAAAUAGGAGACUGAUCUAUUAUUCAAGAAGGAGUCUGUCCUUCCUUGAAGACACUGUUGGGAGACGGAUUUUUUUCUGAGAGCAAAACACGGAUAGAUUUCAGGCAGGGAAGAGUCACGAUCUGAUUCAGAUUUGGGAUAUGCUUUUGAGAUAAAAAUCCUCAGGCUUAGUUGAUGAAUUGGAUGUGGGGUGGGACUUCAGCGAGUCGAGUAUGAUAAAACAGAACUUGAGAAGAAUUCCUUGAUUUUUGGAAGAUUAUGAAACAGUGGGUAACAAUUAGUCAACUCCAUUUCACCUGUCUUCACUAAUCAAGGUCAUUUUAAGACCUACCUACCCUUAAGUGCAUGUGGCCUAAACAAGAAGAGGUUUGCCCAAGUUGUUUUCCAGGAAUUGGAGUCGGCUAUGUCUAGCUGAAGCUGAGCUGGUUAAGACUGGAUAGGACCACAACCCUCCAGCUGGGCACAUGGCUGCUCCAUGGGGACCGAGUCUUGACCGCUGUGGGCAUAUAGGAACCAUUCAAAAAUAGGCCUCGUAUAAGCGUGUGGUGUGGGGGAAGGUUCCUGGAGACAAGUACAGCAAGACAGUGACGAGUAAAGGUCUGCUAUCUAGGGAAUGGUUAGAAAAACUGUUAGAGCUCAAUAAAUCUAAGACCCCAAGACAUUUACCUAGGAAUUUUCCCCGUGCAGCUUAUAAUUCACCAGACUCUGACGUCAUUGCUUCUCUGUCGGGCAGUAAAAUUAUCCACAUUGACGGUGAUGAUGCUGAGUCAUCAAGAAGAGGUUGAAAUAUGUUCAGUCACUAGAUUUAAAAUGGCAAGAAAUAUGACAUCUUUAAAGUCUCUUUUUCAAAAUAAUGGUUGAGAUGAAUAUUUUGGACCUGAAGUCUUAGGAUAACCCAACAACACGUAUAAAUGGAAAACGUUAUCACCCUCUGAAACUAUCUGUAUAAAAGAGACAAACUGCCCUGUUCUUCAUAAGCAAUUACCUUCUGCAAACCGUAGUCAAUUUAUGUUUGUGAUGAGUACAUGGUUCUAAUUACCUUGCAAUGUCACUAAAGAUGAACAAAACUCUUUUGGAAAAAUUACAGACUCUUAUUCUGUGCUAACGAGGGCAUUCUCCUUCUGAACAUGGUUACCACAACAAACAGAAGAAGGCUGGAGGUAUCUGCCAGAGAGUAAACAAAAGCAAAACCCCUCCUGAGGAUCGCCAAGCAAAGGGAUGGAAACCAUGUGCGUGACUCCCCUGGAAAGCCUGGCUGAGGCAGCCAGGAGCACAAGCCGUGUUCAUGAGUCCUGGGCUGGGAGCAAAGCUGCAUGUGCCUUGCACACGGCGGGCGCUCAAGGAGAGCACCCACAGGAGAGGACAGAUACAGACACGCUUCUUUCCUGCUUUGGAAGGGCGAGGAUUAGAGCUAGGGUGCAGGCGGUUUCAGUCCUGGGAGCUUUUUCAUUUGUAAGGGGUCAGAAUAGGCGUGUUAAGAUGGCCAUCUCUGAAGAAACUACCUAGAACUUUGUCAUCAUGGAAAUAUUGAGCUUGGGAUGAUGGUCAAUGCCAGGCUGUGUGUGCAAGUGCCAUCACUUCAGUCAGGUCUGACUCUUUGUGACCCCUGUAGGGACUGUAGGCCUGCCAGGCUCCUUUGUCCAUGGGAUGUUCUGGGCUAGAAUACUGGAGCACGUUGCCAUUUCCCCCUCUGGGCGAUCUUCCUGACCCAGGGAUCAAACACAUGUCUCCUGCAUUGGCAGAUGGAUUCUUUACCACUAAGCCACCUGAAUGAGUGAGUGAGUGAAAGUCGCUCCGUCGUGUCUGACUCAGUG